rnacentral:rRNA from 1 species
GACGAACGCUGGCGGCGUGCCUAAUACAUGCAAGUCGAGCGAACAGAUGAGGAUCUUGCGCCUCUGACGUUAGCGGAGGACGGGAGAGUAACACGUGGAUCACCUCCCUAUCUGACUGGGAUAACUUCGGGAAACCGGCGCUAAUACCGUAUAAUAUAUUGCACCGCAGGGUGCGUUAGUAAAAGUCGGCUUUUCUGUCACUUAUAGCUGGAUCCGCGCCGGUUUAGCUAGUUGGUACGGUACAGGCUUAGCAAGGGGAGGAUGCGUAGCCGACCUGAGGGGGGGGUCGGCCACACUGGAGCUGGGACGCGGUCCAGACUCCUGCGGGAGGCAGCAGUCUGGAAUCGUCCGCAGUGGGCGAAAGCCUGGCGGAGCGGCGCCGCGUGUGUUAUGGAGAUCCUCGGAUCGUAAUACUCUGUUAUUAGUUAAGAACAAAUGUGUAAGUAACUGUGCACGUCGUGACGGUACCUGGUCAAAAAGCCCCGGCUAACUACGUG